rnacentral:lncRNA from 1 species
UCCAAUAUUCUGGGUGCUCCUGCUGCCUCCCCUUUUUUCACAUUGUUUUAGCCACUUUGCUUCUCCGCUUCUCUCGAGCGUGUCACCCACACGGCCACACCCCUCCGGAGUCGGGACAAAGUGUUGGCACGAGCAGUAAAGGAGAGUAGGAAAGAUGAAAGCAAGAUUCUUGGCGCAAUAGAUGAUUAAGAAAAGGAGGUUCAUGAUUAAACAACGGAUCAAUUC